CACGUAGGGGCCAAGCGUUGUCCGGAUUUAUUGGGCGUAAAGAGCUCGUAGGCGGUUCGACAAGUCGGGUGUGAAAACUCCGGGCUCAACCCGGAGACGCCACCCGAUACUGUCGUGACUGGAGUCCGGUAGGGGAGUGGGGAAUUCCUGGUGUAGCGGUGAAAUGCGCAGAUAUCAGGAGGAACACCGGUGGCGAAGGCGCCACUCUGGCCCGGUACUGACGCUGAGGUGCGAAAGCGUGGGGAGCAAACAGG
rnacentral:rRNA from 1 species